UCUAAUAUGGCAGAAUAGUGUAAUAAAUUUAAGCUUUAUAUAUGUAAAUAAUUUACUAUUAGAA
rnacentral:tRNA from 1 species